rnacentral:rRNA from 1 species
UAGUCUGGUGCCAGCAGCCGCGGUAAUUCCAGCUCCAAUAGCGUAUAUUAAAGUUGUUGCAGUUAAAACGCUCGUAGUCGGAUUUCGGGGCAGGUUUGCCGGUCUGCCGAUGGGUAUGCACUGGUAGAACUGUCCUUCCUUCCGGAGACGGCGCCUACUCUUAACUGAGCGGGUNUCGGAGACGGAUCGUUUACUUUGAAAAAAUCAGAGUGUUUCAAGCAGGCAGCUCGCUUUUGCAUGGAUUAGCAUGGGAUAAUGAAAUAGGACUUUGGUGCUAUUUUGUUGGUUUCGAACACCGAAGUAAUGAUUAACAGGGACAGUCAGGGGCACUCGUAUUCCGCCGAGAGAGGUGAAAUUCUUAGACCAGCGGAAGACGAACCACUGCGAAAGCAUUUGCCAGGGAUGUUUUCACUGAUCAAGAACGAAAGUUAGGGGAUCGAAGACGAUCAGAUACCGUCGUAGUCUUAACCAUAAACCAUGCCGACUAGGGAUUGGAGGAUGUUCCUAUGUGACUCCUUCAGCACCUUUCGGGAAACUAAAGUCUUUGGGUUCCGGGGGGAGUAUGGUCGCAAGGCUGAAACUUAAAGGAAUUGACGGAAGGGCACCACCAGGAGUGGAGCCUGCGGCUUAAUUUGACUCAACACGGGGAAACUUACCAGGUCCAGACAUUGUGAGGAUUGACAGAUUGAGAGCUCUUUCUUGAUUCGAUGGGUGGUGGUGCAUGGCCGUUCUU